UACGUAGGGUGCAAGCGUUAAUCGGAAUUACUGGGCGUAAAGCGUGCGCAGGCGGUUUCGCAAGUCAGAUGUGAAAUCCCCGGGCUCAACCUGGGAACUGCAUUUGAAACUACGAGGCUCGAGUGUGUCAGAGGGGGGUGGAAUUCCACGUGUAGCAGUGAAAUGCGUAGAGAUGUGGAGGAACACCAAUGGCGAAGGCAGCCCCCUGGGAUAACACUGACGCUCAUGCACGAAAGCGUGGGGAGCAAACAGG
rnacentral:rRNA from 1 species